AAACCACAAUGAAGCCCUGAAAACAAUGGGAGAAGAGGAAUUCAAGAGGGGCUCGGCACUGACUAGGUAGCCCUAUAGUAAAAUACUAGUAUAACCUGUUUGGUUGUCUGGUUUGAUGUCUGACAACUGCUCUACUGUUUGGUGGCUUCGCGUUGUGCUGAAGUUGUUUGACUGGUGAGUAGUUUGUUCAUAGUGGAAAAGUAUGCCAUUCCUUGAAGAGAAACAUGUGCAACUUUUGAGAUUUAGCGGCCUUGUUGGAAAAGUGCGGCUUUCCACUGAUAUGUCUCAAGAUGACUGUAAAUUAUGGCCGCAGUGUCAUCACAUCCAAGGGUAGGUGGGUAUGCAGAAGCAAAGGAAACACAACAUUUUUUGUAAGACAGAGUCUUGAUACCUAAAUCAGACGCGGGAGCAGAGAUAUAGAGCAAUCGCCUAAGACGAGUGCACGAGUUGCACAGAUAUACAAGGAGUUGCUGUAAUUUUCUUACACUUUGUGGUGUAGUUCAAAAAAGUUCGAAAUAUGGAAAAAGACGAAGUUACAGUAGAAAUCUAAAAGUUGAACAUUAUAAAUUAUAAAAAUGUCAGGCCAUAUUAGGAUGCCAAGUUGUAUUACCAUCACUAGGCACUUGUGAAAAGAAAAUUAAAGAAACUGCAUGCUAUGCAGGUCAUCAAGAGAUUGUGACUUACUUGAGGAGGUUCGAUGUAGCACUGGUAAAUGAGGUCGUUAUAAUUAUUUGUAUACUAAUAAUAAUCUUCUGAUUCAAGUUAAUAACAACUCCAAAAACUAGUAAAUGCAGUUAAAAUGAGAACAGCUUUAUUAUACAACGAUAAGCACAAAAAUGUUCCAGUUUAAAAUGGUUGGCUCCAGCCAUGGGUUGUAGUCAGGCACGAUUUGAGAUAUAAAAUGAGGACUGUAAAAGAAAUCGUGGCAGUGGGAAGUGGUCUUCAAGAAGGGCUGAAAGCAGUGGGCAGCGGAACACAAGAAGGCGGUUCUUGUGUCAGCCUAUAGGCAUGGUGAUUGGUUUAGUAGUACACGUCUAUUAUCGUUACAUGCAGACAUUGAAUAUGAGUAAACGAGCUGGAGAGUGCGACUAUUAGCGACAUUCGAUUAUACGUGUCUAAAUAAUGCAAACAUUCAUUUACGUGGUAUAUCCGUUUUGUGAGAUCUUCACCAAAAAGAUGGUUGUUGCGGUGCUCCAGUGCUCAAAGCGCCGCCAACCCAACAGCAAACUAUAUUUAUGCAGGCAACAGGAAGUGUCAGCAUCUACUUGUGGAUAGCACUGAUUCUGGUAGACUAGAAGAAUCACGAGUACAGUUGGAUGAGCUUCUGGUGGAGGAUAAACUCACUGGAGUACCCCUACUAGUGUUUGCAAAUAAACAAGACCUAUAGGGAUGGCUUUAAAAGCUGAUGAUAUCAGCAACGAUAUGAAGCUAACUGAGCUGACUGACAGACAAUGGCAGAUACAACCAUGCUCGGCCAAAACUGAAGAAGGGAUUGCGGUGAGUAGGACACUUAGCCCUAGCUAUCAGCGAGAAUAUUAGAAUAUUGUACCAUUGAGUCUGGUUUUGGGUACCAUAGAGCUGUGCCUAUUGGAAUUAUUAUACGUACUAGGUAAUUGUACAUGCUUUGAUGUUUACUCACUGUAAAGGGUAGAUGGUAAAAAGUGAGUAGUUGCUAAUUUAAGUAUAAUACCAGACUUAGACCAACUGCAGUACUUACAGCAUGCAUUU